rnacentral:rRNA from 1 species
AACAGGAUUAGAUACCCUGGUAGUCCAUGCCGUAAACGAUGAGUGCUAAGUGUUGGAGGGUUUCCGCCCUUCAGUGCUGCAACUAACGCAUUAAGCACUCCGCCUGGGGAGUACGACCGCAAGGUUGAAACUCAAAGGAAUUGACGGGGGCCCGCACAAGCGGUGGAGCAUGUGGUUUAAUUCGAAGCUACGCGAAGAACCUUACCAGGUCUUGACAUCUUCUGCCAAUCUUAGAGAUAAGACGUUCCCUUCGGGGACAGAAUGACAGGUGGUGCAUGGUUGUCGUCAGCUCGUGUCGUGAGAUGUUGGGUUAAGUCCCGCAACGAGCGCAACCCUUAUUAUCAGUUGCCAGCAUUCAGUUGGGCACUCUGGUGAGACUGCCGGUGACAAACCGGAGGAAGGUGGGGAUGACGUCAAAUCAUCAUGCCCCUUAUGACCUGGGCUACGCACGUGCUACAAUGGACGGUACAACGAGUUGCGAAGUCGUGAGGCUAAGCUAAUCUCUUAAAGCCGUUCUCAGUUCGGAUUGUAGGCUGCAACUCGCCUACAUGAAGUUGGAAUCGCUAGUAAUCGCGGAUCAGCAUGCCGCGGUGAAUACGUUCCCGGGCCUUGUACACACCGCCCGUCACACCAUGAGAGUUUGUAACACCCAAAGCCGGUGAGAUAACCUUCGGGAGUCAGCCGUCUAAGGUGGGACAGAUGAUUAGGGUGAAGUCGUAACAAGGUAACC